UACUUCAUUACCCAUGAUGCAACAGUUAACAGAUGACGGCAGAAGUAAAUGUGCAAAGUUCAUUUCUGUCCGUAAAGAAAAAGUCCUUGCUUCGCCAGAGGAACAGAUAAAUGUAGACAGGUGGCUUUGGCUUCAAGUCCUUGUUGACCCACGUUUGUUUCGUAAGAGAAGAACUUUGUUGAGCUGCAAAAACCAGCAUGGCAGAAGCAAAAGCUAAACAAGAGCUGCCUGAAGACGUUGGCUCUGACGACUGUCUGACGUCAUACACCUACAUUUACAGCCCAGAUUUACUAAAAGAUCAGGUUGCUUUUAUCACAGGAGGAGGAUCUGGAAUUGGACUCCGCAUAGCUGAGGUCUUCAUGAGGCAUGGCUGUGAUACAGUGAUUGCCAGCAGGAACUUGGACAAACUGAAGGAGGCAGCCAAGAAGCUGUGUGCUGCAUCAGGACGCCGCUGCCUUCCCGUGUGCAUCGACGUGAGGCAGCCUGAGAGCAUCGUUGCUGCUGUGGAUGAAACAAUCAAGCAGUUUGGUCACAUAGACAUCCUUAUCAACAAUGCUGCUGGAAACUUCAUCUGCCCAGCCUCUGCUCUCUCCUUCAAUGCCUUCAGGACCGUGAUGGAGAUAGACACCAUGGGCACAUUCAACACCAGUAAAGUAGUUUAUGAGAAGUGGUUUAAGGAUCAUGGUGGAAACAUUGUCAACAUCUCUGCAACUCUUGCAUACAGAGGGCAGGCUCUACAGGUGCAUGCUGGCUCUGCCAAGGCAGCAAAUGACGCCAUGACAAAACACCUGGCUGUAGAGUGGGGGCCCAAUGGUGUGAGGGUAAACGCUGUGGCUCCAGGUCCCAUCUCCGGCACAGAGGGCUUUCGCCGACUCGGUGGUUCUCAUAUGGAGGCGACUGAGUCCUUCCGGUCCAUACCUUUGCAGCGAGCUGGAAACAAGACUGAGAUGGCCCACUGCACGCUUUUCCUGGCUAGCCGAGCAUCUUCCUACAUGACUGGUGCCAUCAUGGUGGCGGAUGGUGGCGCCUGGCUCACCUCAGCCAAUGACGUCUCCAUGCUGUUGGGUAUAGCCUCCUCUAAAUCUGCUAGGCUCUGAGCUGGGGCUCUCCUGUCCUCCUCCGGACCCAGGUGUGUUGGAGGAGGCACAGCUUGAGAUCCAGGAGAGACAGUUAUUGGUCAUCUGAAAAGAAGAGAGACAAGUGAACAAGUGAAACUCUUUUUGCAGGAGCACUGAUGUGCAUUGUGACAUAAAUCAAUGUUUUCCAUUGUGCACCAGGGCCGUUAUUCCUGUUAUCAUGGUGGUUAGUAUAGGACUACACUGAUAUAACAUACUGUAUUAUCACUAGCUGUCAUAUAAGUUAUGAAUGAAGUGAUGUAAUAACUGAAAAGUUGUUUUCACAUUCCACUGUUCAGUUUUAUGACAAAUGUGUGUAAUUAAUAAUAAAUGAAUGAAUGACAAACGA